rnacentral:rRNA from 1 species
AGCAGCCGCGGUAAUUCCAGCUCCAAUAGCGUAUAUUAAAGUUGUUGCAGUUAAAAAGCUCGUAGUUGAAUUUCGGGGUCAGUAGGUCGGUCGUGCCACUGGUAUGAACUGGUUUUACUGAUUCCUCCCUCUUGAAGAACUGUAAUGCCAUUAAUUUGGUGUUGCAGGGAAUYAGGACUGUUACUUUGAAAAAAUUAGAGUGUUUAAAGCAGGCUUUAGCUUGAAUACAUUAGCAUGGAAUAAUGAAAUAGGACGUUUGAUCCUAUUUUGUUGGUUUCUAGGAUUGACGUAAUGAUUAAUAGGGAUAGUUGGGGGCAUUAGUAUUCAAUUGUCAGAGGUGAAAUUCUUGGAUUUAUUGAAGACUAACUACUGCGAAAGCAUUUGCCAAGGAUGUUUUCAUUAAUCAAGAACGAAAGUUAGGGGAUCGAAGACGAUCAGAUACCGUCGUAGUCUUAACCAUAAACUAUGCCGACUAGGGAUCGGAUGAUGUUAAUUUUUUAAUGACUCA